rnacentral:rRNA from 1 species
UGGGGAAUAUUGGACAAUGGGCGCAAGCCUGAUCCAGCCAUGCCGCGUGGAUGAUGAAGGCCCUAGGGUUGUAAAGUCCUUUUAACGGGGAAGAUAAUGACGGUACCCGUAGAAUAAGCCCCGGCUAACUUCGUGCCAGCAGCCGCGGUAAUACGAAGGGGGCUAGCGUUGCUCGGAAUUACUGGGCGUAAAGCGCACGUAGGCGGGUCGUUAAGUCGGGGGUGAAAUCCUGGAGCUCAACUCCAGAACUGCCCUCGAAACUGGCGAUCUUGAGUUCGGGAGAGGUGAGUGGAACUGCGAGUGUAGAGGUGAAAUUCGUAGAUAUUCGCAAGAACACCAGUGGCGAAGGCGGCUCACUGGCCCGAUACUGACGCUGAGGUGCGAAAGCGUGGGGAGCAAACA